ACGGCCGCUGUUUGGAGGCCCCGCCCCUGGCUGGGCCGUGGGGAGCUGAGGUUUCCGAUGGAAACUAGCGCUGCGCGCCGUCCUUGAACCUGGGCACUUAAGGCGGCCGCCUCAGGGUUGGCGGCGGAAGAACUCAUUGGGGAGAAAGGUCUUCCCCGUACCGAAAGAGGAAGACCUAGAUUUAAAACAGGAGUGAGGCAGCUGAUGAGAACCGCACACGCGCCUUGGAUCUGUGCUACACCUGUUAGACUUGCAUUUGUCAUGCUUCUGGGAAGCGUUUUUAUUUGCAAAAACGGCUGUUUCUGCACGUGGUUGUGGCUGCUUCCUUCUGCACAUGUGAAGUUUUACAUCACCCUUGUGGGAGAAAAUAAACAUGGGCAGAAAACUUCUUUUUAAUUUACCCCCUCUCCCUCCUCGAAUGAGGCGCUUUGUGCACAUGGUCCAGGUUGGAAAUCAGCCCAUUUGGAGAUACUCUUUAUCUCGCCUCAGAAUGAAGAUGUGGUGUCUCCUUGUCAUCCCAUCCAGUGCUGGGGUUAUUCUGACCUAA